rnacentral:tRNA from 1 species
AAAUAAGAAGCUUAAAGCAUUUAAUUUCGACUUAAAAAUUGGAUAUAACACUAUCCCUUAUUUU